UACGGAGGGUGCAAGCGUUAUCCGGAUUCACUGGGUUUAAAGGGAGUGUAGGUGGGUUGGCAAGUCAGUGGUGAAAUCUCCGAGCUUAACUUGGAAACUGCCAUUGAUACUAUCAGUCUUGAAUAUUGUGGAGGUCAGCGGAAUACGUCAUGUAGCGGUGAAAUGCUUAGAUAUGACAUAGAACACCAAUUGCGAAGGCAGCUGGCUACACAUAUAUUGACACUGAGGCUCGAAAGCGUGGGGACCAAACAGG
rnacentral:rRNA from 1 species